AUUGAACGCUGGCGGCAUGCUUUACACAUGCAGGUCGGACGGCAGCACAGAGAAGCUUGCUUCUUGGGUGGCGAGUGGCGAACGGGUGAGUAAUAUAUCGGAACGUACCGAGUAAUGGGGGAUAACUAAUCGAAAGAUUAGCUAAUACCGCAUAUUCUCUGAGGAGGAAAGCAGGGGACCUUCGGGCCUUGCGUUAUUCGAGCGGCCGAUAUCUGAUUAGCUAGUUGGUGGGGUAAAGGCCUACCAAGGCGACGAUCAGUAGCGGGUCUGAGAGGAUGAUCCGCCACACUGGGACUGAGAAACGGCCCAGACUCCUACGGGAGGCAGCAGUGGGGAAUUUUGGACAAUGGGCGCAAGCCUGAUCCAGCCAUGCCGCGUGUCUGAAGAAGGCCUUCGGGUUGUAAAGGACUUUUGUCAGGGAAGAAAAGGCUGUUGCUAAUACCGACAGCUGAUGACGGUACCUGAAGAAUAAGCACCGGCUAACUACGUG
rnacentral:rRNA from 1 species